rnacentral:lncRNA from 1 species
UGGUCGGUAGGCAACCCCACGCUACCUUCCAGAUGAAGAGCGCCACACGCGGGUGAAUCCGCAUCCUCCAGAUCCAUCCUCCCUCUAUCUGUCGGGCUGGCUCUCGGCUCAAUAAUGUGUGGAUAUCCCUGGCUCGCACCUGCGAUCGCCCUGUCGGCAUCCAGACUAAUCUAUCCGCCCCUCCCUGGGCAAAAACAGGUAGGGCCAGGAUC